GCAAGCGAUGGGGAACGGCUGUAAAUACAGAUGAAGCUUCGCUCGCACAUCUGCUGCCCACCUCCUGCUGUGCAGCCCAGUUCCUAACAGUCUAUGGACCAGUUACCUGUCCGUGGCCUGAGGGUUGAGGACCUCUGACUUAGAGCACUGCCAACAAACUAGUUGUGCCUAUACCUCCAUGCCUUAACUUGUGCUAUUUCUGCAACACCUUUCCCUCCCUAUUCCCUACCAGGCUCUCCCUACUGGUAGACAUGUCGCUGGCAUAACCCUGCAUCCACUAUCAUAGAGAUGAUGUUCUGUGGAUGCUGCCUUGCCACAGAUGUGGGACUUCUGGAUGCGCACAUGACCCAGGAAUGGCAAGGAGAACCUCAGCCUUAUUCACAUGGAAUCAGAUGCCAGUGCCUUACCGGAGAUGAGGGAUCCAGAAGAGAACGUCCAAGUUCAGGGAUAUAUCCCUUAGUGGCCUGGAUUUCAGGACAGAACCCAGUGUCCUCCCUCCCCUUAACAAGAGAGGAGACAAGGGAGAGGCAAGAGAACCAAACUCUAGAGAUUUACGGGGGAAAACAUUACAAAACAGCAAACAGAGAUACAGCAGUGUAAUCCACACCUUCCUACAAGAGUGCA
rnacentral:lncRNA from 10 species